GUGAGUCAUCGAAUCUUUGAACGCACAUUGCGCCCCUUGGUAUUCCGAGGGGCAUGCCUGUUCGAGCGUCAUUACAACCCUCAAGCUCUGCUUGGUAUUGAGCGUCUCGCCUGGGUUCUCCCAGGCGCGCUCGAAACUCGUGGGCGGUGAUGUCCAGCGUCGAAGCGUAGUCAUACAUUCCGCUACCGACAAACUGGACGUUCACCCGCCUGGCAACGAAUUUUCAUUUUUUCAGGUUUGACCUCGGAUCAGGUAGGGAUACCCGCUGAACUUAAGCAUAUCAAUAAGCGGAGGA
rnacentral:misc_RNA from 1 species